AUUGAACGCUGGCGGCAUGCUUUACACAUGCAAGUCGAACGGCAGCGCGGGUUUCGGCCUGGCGGCGAGUGGCGAACGGGUGAGUAAUACAUCGGAACGUGCCCAGUAGUGGGGGAUAGCUCGGCGAAAGCCGGAUUAAUACCGCAUACGACCUGAGGGUGAAAGCGGGGGAUCUUCGGACCUCGCGCUAUUGGAGCGGCCGAUGGCAGAUUAGCUAGUUGGUGGGGUAAAGGCCUACCAAGGCGACGAUCUGUAGCUGGUCUGAGAGGACGACCAGCCACACUGGGACUGAGACACGGCCCAGACUCCUACGGGAGGCAGCAGUGGGGAAUUUUGGACAAUGGGCGAAAGCCUGAUCCAGCAAUGCCGCGUGUGUGAUGAAGGCCUUCGGGUUGUAAAGCACUUUUGGCGGGAACGAAAAGGACUGUGCCAAUACCACGGUUCGAUGACGGUACCCGCAGAAUAAGCACCGGCUAACUACGU
rnacentral:rRNA from 1 species